rnacentral:rRNA from 1 species
AUACGUAUGUCGCAAGCGUUAUCCGGAAUUAUUGGGCGUAAAGCGAGUCUAGGCGGCUUGUUAAGUCAGAUGUGAAAAUGCGGGGCUCAACUCCGUAUUUCGUUUGAAACUGGCAGGCUAGAGUACUGGAGAGGUGGGCGGAACUACAAGUGUAGAGGUGAAAUUCGUAGAUAUUUGUAGGAAUGCCGAUAGUGAAGACAGCUCACUGGACAGAUCCUGACGCUAAAGCUCGAAAGCGUGGGGAGCGAACAGGAUUAGAUACCCUAGUAGUCC